rnacentral:rRNA from 1 species
GACGGGGGGGGCAAGCGUUGUUCGGAAUUACUGGGCGUAAAGGGCUCGUAGGCGGCCAACUAAGUCGGACGUGAAAUCCCUCGGCUUAACCGGGGAACUGCGUCUGAUACUGGGAGGCUAGAGUAUGGAGAGGAGAUGAGAUUCCAGGUGUAGCGGUGAAAUGCGUAGAUAUCUGGAGGAAUACCGGUGGCGAAGGCGGCAUCCUGGACCAUUACUGACGCUGAGGCGCGAAAGCUAGGGGAGCAAACGGG